GUCUGAAGCAACCACAUUUGGGCGGUUUUCUACUCAAAUGAGAGAAUUCAUCAAAUGAAUUGGCCCAGACUUCUGCAGUGUCAAGUGAAGGAAGCUCCUCUCAUAAGAUUGCAAACUGGGAGUCUGAUGACACUGAGCGUGAGUGAUGGAAGCCCUUCGAGAGAGGAGCAGAAGGCUGAAGAUGAAGCCAGAACUAAGCCAAGUUCCUGGCUUCUCCCAAGACCUUCAAGGACCCAAUUAACCUCGGAAUCAGCUGUAAAGGAGAAUGAAACCGAUGUCUAAG